rnacentral:rRNA from 1 species
CACGUAGGGGGCGAGCGUUGUCCGGAUUUAUUGGGCGUAAAGAGCUCGUAGGCGGCUCAGUAAGUCAGGUGUGAAAACUCCAGGCUCAACCUGGAGACGCCACCUGAUACUGCUGUGGCUAGAGUCCGGUAGGGGAGCAUGGAAUUCCUGGUGUAGCGGUGAAAUGCGCAGAUAUCAGGAGGAACACCAAUUGCGAAGGCAGCUCGCUGGGACGUUACUGACGCUGAGACGCGAAAGCGUGGGGAGCAAACAGG